UGCCACGUUUGAAUAAAUUCCUUUUAUAUUGUUUUUUAUUAUUUUUAUCUUACAAGUUUCAUUGCAAAUUGUUUAAAAUAAAAAAAUAUAUUUUCAUUUUAAACAAAAUGAAAACGUUUUAUAUUUAUUUUAAACAAAAUUUGAAAUGAAACUUACAAAAAAAGUUGUUUUGGGGUAAUAAAACACAGAUUUUGUUAACAUUUUUAUUGUACACUUGAGUAACAUAACAAAUUAAAUUUUUCAAAAAAUUAAAGUAUUGUAUUAUUUCUUAAUUAUACAAAAAUUAUAAAAAAAUUAAAUCAGUCAGUGUUGGCAUGUUUUGCCUGUCUGCUCGAGACUUAAAACAAAAUAAGGUCUGCUUUGCAAUGACUUUUACCUUGUCUGUCAGCAAACAGUUGCCCACGCUACGACCACGAGGAGGUACAUGCAGUGCACUGACACACUCGAGCGCAAAUAAGAAACUUAAAAGAUCCUCAAUUUUGCAGGCAUUCCUCCACAAUUCUUGAAGCUUUGGAUUCUUAGGGAAGGUGAAGAAAUGCUUAUUGGACUGUCCUUUGUUGGGAACAUAAUCACUGGUGCAUCCGGGGUAUUUGCAGGAAUAUUUGCGAUAACCAGCCAUGACUAAAGUUCAGUUGAGUAGUAGAAAUCAAAAAUCCGUCACUCCAGACCAAUGCCUUUAAAAUAGAAAGAAACACCAAUCAAAAAGAUGAGGUUAUAUUAAUAAAAUAAGAGAUACUUAUCUUUUUGGUCGGCGCUCAACACCAGGAAUUGACUCACUAACGAACUGUAAUCAGAAUUUUUGCUUUGAUUAAACGAUUAAACAAAUAA